CAUACCUUCUGGCGAUCUCUUAAAAUAAAGCCUGAUCUGUUUUUAAUAAACAGGAUGUUUAGACAUAUGUUUAAAUUCUUAUGGAUCUUAAAGGUCAUAAAUUAAAGAAAGGCUUUAUGAAGAAAGCACUUUAAGCUUUUCCAAYGAUUUAAGAUGAUACCGGGGAAGGUUUUCCGGUUUAUCCCGGAGGGCUUGUAGCUCAGUUGGUUAGAGCGCGCGCUUGAUAAGCGUGAGGUCGGAGGUUCAAGUCCUCCCAGGCCCACCAAUUUAUGCUCGUUUUUUGCUUAUCCAAGAGUAUGGAGCUUAAGCGCAUUAAAGUCUCUUUUAAUCUUUGUUUAAAGUUUAAAGAUUUAAUUUUAUCAUUCAGAGAUUGUUUGUUAAAUUUAUUCCAUUAAGUUUGUCAAAGAGGAAGUUUGUCAAAGGGGAUUUUUAAAUCCCUUCAUUUUGAAAUUCCUUCAAGGUAUAGGCAAGUUUAAAUGAUCCAAAUCAAAAUAGUACAAGUCAAAAUAGUGCAAAUUAAAGUAGUGCAGGCAAUUCAAGUUGAUAAAUUUUCUUGAGGUUGAUUUGAGAGAGUAUUAUUUAGGGGCCGUAGCUCAGCUGGGAGAGCACCUGCUUUGAAGAGG
rnacentral:tRNA from 1 species